GGGAAGGGGGGGAGCAGCAGCUGCGAGCAGAGCACGUGGGAGCCGUGAUGGCAUUUGGAAGCAGGGAUAUUUGGAGGCGGUGAUGUUGGGAACGGGGAUGUUGGGAAGCAGGGCGUGUUUGGAAGAGGGGAUGUUCGGAAGCGGGGAUGUUUCCAUGCCCGCCGGCAUUGUCCCCGUCCGGCCCGGUGUUAAGUUCCAGCAUCACUGCCUCGAUUUAGGCACAGACGUAUCCAUCAUGGGAAGCUCACAGAAAGAUUAGUGUCCCCCUGCUCUGUCCCUCUGCCCAGCUAAGGGAAUGGCCACAUCUGCUGUCAGCACAAAUCAAAUAUAAAAUUACUGUUGGAACUGUCAUGCUGUGGAAGGGGCAUCUUGCUGGAGGCUGGUGAGGCUCUAAUUCACACCCAGAAACAUCCCUCCACGAGACACAGGUGGAGCAUUUUAAGGCAGGUUGCAGCUCAGCAUCACCCAUUUGAUUCUCUCUAACCAUUCCUUUGCAUCGUGGCAACACAGAGCUUUCACAGCAUAAACAAGUCCAAGGAAUAGAUGGAUUUCCUCCCUGUGAAAUAAGUAAAGCAGAUGAUUGAAUAAAGUUUCAUUUCCCUGCCUGGUUCAGCAGCUCUCUCUUGCUCUAUUACAUUUCCUAACUUGCCUCAGCAGCUCUCUUACCCAGCUCUGUGACUCCCUGAGUGGGUGAUGCUCUUGGGUUUCCUCUGCACUUGAAAUCCUGGCCUGACCCUUUUACACAUGGCCAAAUGCUGCUCUCAAUUCCCCCGGGUUAAUCCAGACUAAAUCCCUGGGAUUAACUGGAUUUAACCCUGUGCUGGCUGAGCGCUGUGUGCAGCCCUGACUCGUGGUGUUGCCCAGGGUCUGCUGUGAUCUGUGUCCUUGCCAGGAGCCACAGGUGGGGUAAAGAGAUGCUGAAUAAAACAAUAAACCCCUCCACACUCCACAAGCAAUGGCAGGGCAACCACCUCCUGAUGCAGGAGAUCCACCCAAAAUCACCCGAAGUCAUCCUUAGCAGAAUCAUCUCUUCCUCCCACUUUCACAUCUUUCCUCCCUCUCUGCCUGCCCUGAGAGUUUUGCUGCACUGUUUAUCAGGAUUUAUUUUGUUUUUAUUCUCUCUGGUUUCCUCCCUAGGAGCAUAUGACAUCCAGACCGGGGGUUUGAGCAGCUGUGCCCCUCCCAUGCAGGGUAUUCCCUGCUCUCUUUCCUUGGGAUGGCAGCACAGGGUUUUGUUCUAGUGGUUUUCUCUGGGAGCUGGGUGAAAUAUUCAGGGCCUUUGUUUGACCAAACUCAGGCUGAAGGCCUGUGUGGGAUUGGUUUUUUACCUUCUGGGUAUUUUCUUGGCCUGAAGUGAACA